GAUGAACGCUGGCGGCGUGCUUAACACAUGCAAGUCGAACGAAGAAGCCCAGCUUGCUGGGUGGAUUAGUGGCGAACGGGUGAGUAACACGUGAGUAACCUGCCCUUAACUCUGGGAUAAGCCUGGGAAACUGGGUCUAAUACCGGAUAGGAGCGUCCACCGCAUGGUGGGUGUUGGAAAGAUUUAUCGGUUUUGGAUGGACUCGCGGCCUAUCAGCUUGUUGGUGAGGUAAUGGCUCACCAAGGCGACGACGGGUAGCCGGCCUGAGAGGGUGACCGGCCACACUGGGACUGAGACACGGCCCAGACUCCUACGGGAGGCAGCAGUGGGGAAUAUUGCACAAUGGGCGCAAGCCUGAUGCAGCGACGCCGCGUGAGGGAUGACGGCCUUCGGGUUGUAAACCUCUUUCAGUAGGGAAGAAGCGAAAGUGACGGUACCUGCAGAAGAAGCACCGGCUAACUACGUG
rnacentral:rRNA from 1 species